rnacentral:tRNA from 3 species
GGCCAGGUAGCUCAGUUGGUAGAGCAGGGGAUUGAAAAUCCCCGUGUCGGCAGUUCGAUUCUGUCCCUGGCCACCA